rnacentral:snoRNA from 1 species
GGACGUGAUGAUUGUGUCUACACAUUAACAAUUCCGGUGAAUUAUCGUUAAGAAAAAAUGAACCUCAGAAUAUCAUGCAUCACCAUCUGAUC